AAGCAAAAACAACAGCAAGACCACUUGCCAGGUACCGAAUGUGUAAGAUGUAAAAGUCACAUGUCCUUCGUAGAAAUCUACACCCUCCCUGAGCUGUAAAUCCAUUAGUUAAUCACUGUACUACUCUAGAAAUGACAACUUCAAAGUGAGAGAAAAUUAGCGAUUGGCAACCUUAGUCAAUGAGCCAGCUGAAGGAUGCCUGCGGGUGCUGGAGUUUCUGACUGCAUUGAAGACUCAUUGGCGACCUUCAGCAGUUGUCUUCUCUAUGGUUGAGGAAAUAUGCAAUAUGAAAUAAAAGCCAAAAAAGCCAAAGAUUAUAUCAAGAGGUACUGAACACAUUCAACUAUACAGAUACUUCAAUGUAAAAAUGUGCCAUCAUCAACUCUCACAAAGAUUAUCAUCUGCUUCUGUAAACGUUCAGACUUCCAGAAUUUAUAUAGGAAGAUUUAUGGAUAAAGUUAGAUAAAUAAACAAUACACCAACUGCAGAAAUGUUUAAUACCUGAACAUUGACUUUAUCUGAUGCUAUUACAUCAAUCAAGCCUGUAUAUUAACACUAUGUAAUUAUAUAUACUCUCUAAAGUGGCUGCUGUUUUUAUGGUAGGUGGUUUUUAAAUUGCAAUAAGGUUCUUGAUUUAGUUUUUCAAUUUAUUUUUUUAAUUAGGCUAGGAGGAACUGUGAAGUCAGACACUUAAAGAUAGGCUGUGUAGUUCUGCCUAGACUGCCUCAUGUCAAGUACUUUUCAUUAUAUUAUUGAUUUCUUUGGUUGGAAGAAAAAGUAAAAUCACAAAAAUACUGAACUCCAAGGAAAAUUAAAAACAGAAAGUUAACUUAAUCAAAUGGCGAAAUCAAAAGCUCAAACACAUCAAAUGAAUGGAUAACAACUAUCGUAUUCCUGACUUGUUACAAGCGUUUUCUAGUGUAGAAAAUGGUGAACUGAACCUGGUUUUAUAGCUAGCUUAAACUCUCACUUGUAUGGCAGUCACACCAAAUUGAAACCAGAAUGAAGUACCCAUUCUGUAUGUUACUUUGAUAGGAGUUUAAAGGAUGAAAUUACAAAAUUAGGUCUGUUUGAAAAACCUAUCAUAAAAAUUGAUAUCUUUGAAAAUAAAUGAAUCAAAAGUAUAACAUUUCUUGAAAAGCAAAAGAUAUUCAUUUCAUCCUGACCUGACAAACAAACAAAAUAUUUCCAAAAUUUUAUAGAGCAUUUGUUUCAUCUGAAGCACUAAAAUAUAUAUAUCAAUUGAUUGGUGAACAAAUAUGACUAAGAAACAUUACCAACCUUUAAAAGUACAAAUUGGCCCUAUGACAAUUGUUGUCAAUAUAACUUAGUUAAAUGUUGCUUAAAACUGCAAGUAUCUUGUGUACUGUUAUGUAAAAAUACCCUAAAAAUUUGGUUAAUAAAUUGAUCUUUAGAACUAAGUACUUUAUUAAUCCUGAACAAUUUUAAAGUGCUGCUUUUAAAAUUAACAAUGGCAGAAUAUAAUCCUGUGACCUCUGGCAGCAAAAAUAAUCAAAUAUCCAUUAAAUUAGCAAAAACAGAGAGAACAAGAAAUGGUUCACUUAGAAAACAGACUUACAUAUGGUAUUCCCAUAUUAUACAUAGACAAUCGUUACUAGUAACUUCUCUCUGCGAUGAAAGAGAAGUAUUUACAUACAAAAGAAAUUAUUACAUUAUAUUAUAGAAUUUUAUUGGGUUUGACUAUUACUGGCAGCAAAGAUGUAAAUGAAAUAACGGAAAAAUUAAAGGCCAUUAA